AGUAAUUCCAGGAUUUCCAGUAAUCUGGAAUAUCCGCUACCCUGUCCUGAAAGCCCUCCUCCAGGCGUGGGUCGCCCAACUUGAGUUCGCUCAAUUUCCCCUUUCACCUGCAGAUGGCAGCACGAGUGCCGAUCACUGUCAGGCGAGGGAGCUCAGGGGUGGGAGCCGAAGAGAGUAAUUUAGGGAUAGAGGUGAGAACCGGGUUAGACACAGAAGUAAGAUCACAUGAACUCCGACUUCGGAUGGAACACGUCAUCCAUUUAAACCCUCGAGCCGAGCUCAACUGGAAACUCCACCUGAGCUGGAAGAGACUUGAGCUUGCAAGAAAAAUAAACCAGAGAAUUUUGAAGAUUCUGUGGCUCUUUUCUGUCUGUUCCCAUCAUCCAAGGACAGAGCAUCCCACCCUGACCUCCCUGCAGAACAAGGAGGCCAUGACUGUUUGA
rnacentral:lncRNA from 1 species